rnacentral:misc_RNA from 1 species
AAGUCGUAACAAGGUUUCCGUAGGUGAACCUGCGGAAGGAUCAUUAUUGAAUAAACUUGGUUGGGUUGUUGCUGGCUCUCAGGAGCAUGUGCACGCUCAUUCCAUUUUUUUCAAACCACCUGUGCACACAUUGUAGGCCUGAAAAUGAAUCUUCGAGGAAACUCGGUUUGAGAACUGCCUAGCUGUUCUUGCAUCUCAGGUCUAUGUUUUCAACAUAUACUCCAUAACAAGUAAUAGAAUGUUAAACUAUAUAGGCCUUUUGUGCCUUUAUAAACCUAAUACAACUUUCAACAACGGAUCUCUUGGCUCUC